GGCGAGUGGCGAACGGGUGAGUAACACAUCGGACGCGCCAGUCGUGGGGGAUAACGUAGCGAAAGCUACGCUAAUACCGCAUACGAUCUACGGAUGAAAGCGGGGGAUCGCAAGACCUCGCGCGAUUGGAGCGGCCGAUGGCAGAUUAGGUAGUUGGUGGGGUAAAGGCUCACCAAGCCGACGAUCUGUAGCUGGUCUGAGAGGACGACCAGCCACACUGGGACUGAGACAGGCCCAAAUCCAUACGGGAGGCAGCAGUGGGGAAUUUUGGACAAUGGGCGCAAGCCUGAUCCAGCCAUUCCGGUGCAGGAUGAAAGGCCUUCGGGUUGUAAACUGCUUUUGUACCGGAACGAAAACGGUCUCUCUAAUACAGGGGGCUAAUGACGGUCACCGUAAGGAAUCAAGCACCGGUUAACUAACGUGCCAGCAGCCGCGGUAAUACGGUAAGGGUGGCAAGCGUUAAUCGGGAAUUCACUUGGGGCGUAAAGCGUGCCGCAGGGCGGUAUUGUAAAGACAGUUGGUGAAUUCCCCCGGGGGGCUCCAAACCUUGGGGGAACCUGGCUUCCUUGGUGGACUUGGGCAUUAAGUUAAGAGAAGGUA
rnacentral:rRNA from 1 species